CGAGAUGCUUAUGUCCCUUGGUGGGUGGUGUGUGCUCAUGUACGGUCAAGGUACUCUCAAUUCUGUAAACCAAACCCUUAAGGCAACUGCUCAUGGCACGCUGACUCUUGACAGAGUACUAGAGACAAAACCCUUUCCAGGGGCAAUACCUUCGAUUAUUGGUAGGGGCAAAGACAACCCUCUCAAUUAGUAUAAUGGUAAAAUUACACUUUGACUCUCCCAAUAAUUUAUAAUUCAUUUUCGAUCCCUUCUAAAAAGACAAAUUUCUAACUCUGUUUCUUAGCUAUUGGGAACUCAAUUAAUUACCUUACCAACAGUACUUUAAAUACUCAUCUUGAAAGAAUCCAACCCUUAACAAAUUAUAAUUUACAUUUGAUACGAGCCAAUGAGGUGACACUCAAGGGGUUGUUUUUCCUAGUGGUCCAAUUACUCGAAGCAAGGCACGACAAUUAAAAUUAAAGAUGAAUGCUUUUGUCCAAGACUUUGUUGCUACAAAUUUAAUUCAUCAUGUUCGUGACAUUGACAAAUACGAGAAUGCAAUUCAUUGGACCAAUCUUGGAAUAGUGAAAGCCCAUAAAUUGGUGGAUUAAUCUUUUAUGUAUAUUAUUAUUAUUAUUUACUUAAUUCUCAUUGGUUGGGACACAUCAUUUAUGAGUUAAGUAAUUUUAUUGGUUAGGUUAUUAUUUAUUUAUUUUCUUAGAUAAUUUUAAAGAGUUUUAUUAGGAUUCAAUUACUCUUUAAAGAGUUUUUAUUAGGAUUCAAUUACUCUUGAAAGAGUUGUAUUAGGAUUCAAUUACUCUUGUAAUUUGCCAAUAAAUAGGCUUGUUUUCUACACAUUGGGGGAGGAAUAAAAAGAAGAGUAUUUGUUUUCUUUCAAAUUUGUGUGAGGCAAAUUUUUUUAGAGUAGAGUGAUUCUUCUCUUGCUAUUUAGUUUGGAGUUUGUUACUUUCGAGGGUAUUUCGGAGUUGCAAAUAUUCAAAUUUCUUUCCCGUUCAUCGGUGUUUCUAGAGGUUCUUCUUCUAGGGGUUUCGUAGGGAGCCGCUCAAUCAUUGGUGUUUUUAGUUACAAGUUAACCAAGGGUUCCAUAGGGCAAUUUUAUCCUUUUUAUUUAUUUAUUUAUUAUUUAACUAAUUUUAUUCUCGUUUUAUUUCUAAUUUGUGUUUCUCUUGUGUCUAGAUCCGGGAUUCCGCAUCAACAUUUUUAGGGGCGUUACUUAAGCGACCAUUGGCAACAAUCUUUUCAACAUGCAGUGCAUUGGCUUCUGCUAUGAUUAAAUUAAUGACCUCUAUUGUUUUAGAUUCCCACUUGCCUUGGUCACAAACAAACUGCAAAUGCAUCAUUAAAAUCUUUAAUAUAUCAAAAGUGGGAUUGGGUUAAGAUUGGAAUAUAUAUAUAUACAUCUCUGAUAAAUUUGC
rnacentral:lncRNA from 1 species